rnacentral:rRNA from 1 species
GCAAGUCGAACGAGAUGCUUUUCUUCGGAGAAGUAUUCUAGUGGCGGACGGGUGCGUAACACGUGGGAAUCUACCUUAUAGUGGGGGAUAACUUCUGGAAACGGGAGCUAAUACCGCAUACGCCCUUCGGGGGAAAGAUUUAUCGCUAUAAGAUGAGCCCGCGGUGGAUUAGAUAGUUGGUGAGGUAAAGGCUCACCAAGUCUACGAUCUAUAGCUGGUCUGAGAGGAUGACC